UGCAACAGUCCUCAAAGUUUGGACAAUGUGA
rnacentral:piRNA from 1 species